rnacentral:rRNA from 1 species
ACGUAGGGCGCAAGCGUUGUCCGGAAUUAUUGGGCGUAAAGGGCGCGUAGGCGGCCACCGCAAGUCAAUUGUGAAAUCUCCGGGCUUAACUCGGAAAGGUCAACUGAUACUGCGGGGCUAGAGUGCAGAAGGGGCAACUGGAAUUCUCGGUGUAGCGGUGAAAUGCGUAGAUAUCGAGAGGAACACCUGCGGCGAAGGCGGGUUGCUAGGCUGACACUGACGCUGAGGCGCGAAAGCUAGGGGAGCGAACGGGA